rnacentral:lncRNA from 1 species
UGGAGUGCGAGCGCCGGCGGCAGCAGAGAGGAGUUCUCUCGCUCCCCGUUUAAGAGCCCGCCUCGGCGGUUCCCCGGGAUGCGGGAGCAGUUUGUCAGGGAGAGCAGAGUUACCGUCGAGGCUGCGCCUGGAAAUUCAGCAUCCUUGGGAAAAUCUGCAGGGGGCUAACCCAAGCGGAGUCCGCGAUAUGCGCAGGGCUCCAAUGUCUCCAGGAGCAAAUGAUUCAGAGGCUUUGUGAUGAUGCCAGGAAGGGUUUCACAGGACAGUCCUUCCCAAAUACAAAUCAGAAUCCACAGCCCAGGAGUAAGGAAGAUGCAGGAGACUCAGCGUUCAGGAGUGUACAGAAAACAAUGUCUGGUUUUCUUUUCCAGCUCUGGAUAUAGGACCCUGCAAGAUAUGAUACCUGUAGUUCAUGAAUGGAGACCACCAGAAUUUCUCUCAAUGAAUAUUGGUUCCAGAAUGGCCCAAAAAGGAUAUUAAAGAAAUUUGAAAAUCUCUCUUUAAUUUUUUUUUAUUUUUUUUUCCCCUGUGGACCACACUCAAGUAAUGGUGGACAAAAAAUCUUAGGGUUUUCUCAUUCUAUAAAAAGCUAAUAGGCUCAGUGACAUUUCCAUCUAAAUCAUUUCCAGUAUUUCUUCUGAAAUCUCUGAAGCCAUUAAAACAUUUUAGAGAUUAAAUCACAUCAAGUAUUUUUCUAAGUAAAGCUGCUAUGACGUUGGUGUAAACCACCUCUCAAACCACAGAGCUUUUAUUAAAAGAAAUGCAUUUUUUUCUACAUUUUAAUUCAAACUCGCAUAUUUUUGAGAAUAUUGGCCGUCCAAAUUUGCAAACAGUCCCUGUAGCUUUUUAAGAUGUUAAUAGUUAUUAAUCCUGACUGCUAACUUCCCGUGCAGAGGGUAUUUUUUUAUGGCUGAAUUACCAACUCUAAAAAAAGGGGGUACUGAUGAAAGAAGUAAUCAAGAUAACAGUGAGCACCACUUACCAUUUUUUAUAUUAACAACCAAGAAGAAAGUAUAUUCAGACUAGCAAACAACUUCUUACCAUCAGCUUAUUCAUCAGAAUAGUUGGGUCAGGACCGUGUUGUACCAGAAACUGUACAAACAGAAUGAAAGCACUCAGACUACAGCAGUGUACAGAGUGGGCAGAUAGGACUCUUUCCACUUCUCGCACUUAAUCCUUUCUUUCAAGAGCUGCCAGCUCUUGACAGUUAAAACAAGUGAAAUUAAAUAAAGAAGUCAAUU